ACGGCCGUACCAUGCUGAAUAUACCGGUUCACCGAAGAUCACCGAAGUCAAGCAUCAUUGGGCGCGGUCAGUACUUGGGUGGGUGACCACCUGGGAACACUGCGUGCCGUU
rnacentral:rRNA from 1 species